rnacentral:tRNA from 1 species
UAAAUCUUAAGUUAUGUAAACUAUGGGCCUUCCAAGCUCAAAAAAAGAAUCCUUAGAUUUAA